rnacentral:rRNA from 1 species
UCAAGUUAUUAAGGGUGCAGGGCGGAUGCCUUGGCACUAGGAGCCGAUGAAGGACGUGAUAAGCUGCGAUAAGCUUCGGGGAGUUGCACGUAAACUUUGAUCCGAAGAUUUCCGAAUGAGGAAACUCACUUAGAGUAAUGUCUAAGUAUCAUUAAGUGAAUACAUAGCUUAAUGAGGGGAACUCAGGGAACUGAAACAUCUAAGUACCUGAAGGAAGAGAAAGAAAUUCGAUUCCGUAAGUAGCGGCGAGCGAACGCGGAUUAGCCCAAACCAAUAAAGUUUUCUUUAUUGGGGUUGCGGACAUAUCAUAACGAAGAGGUAUCGUAAUUGAAGAGGUUUGGAAAGACCCACCACAGAAGGUAAUAGUCCUGUAUGUUAAACGAGAAGACUUCAGAUAUGAUCCAGAGUACCACGGGACACGUGAAACCCUGUGGGAAGCAGGAGGGACCACCCUCCAAGGCUAAAUACUACCUAGUGACCGAUAGCGUAUAGUACCGUGAGGGAAAGGUGAAAAGAACCCCGGGAGGGGAGUGAAAUAGAACCUGAAACCCUGCACUUACAAGCUGUGGAAGCACAUUUCUUGUGUGACCGCGUACUUUUUGUAGAACGGGCCAACGAGUUACGUUAAGUAGCAAGGUUAAGCACUUAAGGUGCGGAGCCGUAGCGAAAGCGAGUUUUAACUGAGCGUUCAGUUACUUGACGUAGACCCGAAACCGGGCGACCUACCCAUGAGCAGGAUGAAGCGAAAGUAAAAUUUCGUGGAGGUCCGAACCCACGAGCGUUGAAAAGCUCGGGGAUGACUUGUGGGUAGCGGUGAAAUUCCAAUCGAGCCCGGAGAUAGCUGGUUCUCCCCGAAAUAGCUUUAGGGCUAGCCUCAAGGUGAGAGAUACGGAGGUAGAGCACUGAAUGUCCUAGGGGGUAUUGCACCUACCGAAGACUAUCAAACUCCGAAUGCCGUCAUCUUAUACUUGGGAGUCAGACUGUGGGUGAUAAGAUUCAUAGUCGAAAGGGCAACAGCCCAGAUCGUCAGCUAAGGUCCCUAAAUGUAAGUUAAGUGGUAAAGGAUGUGGGAUUGCACAGACAACCAGGAUGUUGGCUUAGAAGCAGCCACUCAUUCAAAGAGUGCGUAAUAGCUCACUGGUCGAGUGAUCCUGCGCCGAAGAUUUCCGGGGCUAAAACUUACUACCGAAGCUACGGCAUCAGUAAUGAUGGGUAGGGGAGCUUCCCAUACGGGUUGAAGCAUGACCGUAAGGACAUGUGGACAGUAUGGGAGUGAGAAUGUUGGCAUGAGUAGCGAGAUGUGGGUGAGAAUCCCACAGGCCGUAAACCCAAGGUUUCCAGGGGAAGGUUCGUCCGCCCUGGGUUAGUCGGGACCUAAGCUGAGGCCGAAAGGCGUAGGUGAUGGACAACAGGUUGAUAUUCCUGUACUACCGAUAACCAUUUGAGAGAAGGGAUGACACAGUAGGAUAAGCUAAGCACACUGUUGGUUAUGUGUGCCCAAGCAUUGAGGCAGUCAAAGUAGGCAAAUCCGCUUUGAUAAUGCUGGGAUGUGAUGGGGAGCGAAAUUUAGUAGUGAAGUAGCUGAUUUCACACUGUCAAGAAAAGUCUCUAUCGAGGUUAAAGGUACCCGUACCGCAAACCGACACAGGUGGGUGAGGAGAGUAUCCUAAGGCCAGCGAGAGAACUGUUGUUAAGGAACUCGGCAAAAUGACCCCGUAACUUAGGGAUAAGGGGUGCCACCAUCAGGUGGCCGCAGAGAAUAGGCCCAAGCGACUGUUUACCAAAAACAUAGGUUUCUGCUAAGUCGCAAGACGAUGUAUAGGAGCUGACGCCUGCCCGGUGCUGGAAGGUUAAGGGGAUCUGUUAGAGCAAUCGAAGCAGUGAACUUAAGCCCCAGUAAACGGCGGCCGUAACUAUAACGGUCCUAAGGUAGCGAAAUUCCUUGUCGGGUAAGUUCCGACCCGCACGAAAGGCGUAACGAUUUGGGCACUGUCUCAACAACAGACUCGGUGAAAUUGUAAUUCCGGUGAAGAUGCCGGAUACCUGCGACAGGACGGAAAGACCCCAUGGAGCUUUACUGUAGCUUGACAUUGGGUCUUGGUACUACAUGUACAGGAUAGGUGGGAGGCUUUGAAACCAGGACGCCAGUUUUGGCGGAGCCAUCCUUGGGAUACCACCCUUGUAGUACUGGGACUCUAACCAUAGGCCAUGAAUCUGGUCUUGGGACACUGUCAGGUGGGCAGUUUGACUGGGGCGGUCGCCUCCCAAAAGGUAACGGAGGCGCUCAAAGGUUCUCUCAGUACGGUCGGAAAUCGUACGUAGAGUGUAAAGGCAAAAGAGAGCUUGAUUGCAAGACAUACAGGUCGAGCAAGGAUGAAAAUCGGACUUAGUGAUCCGGUGGUUCUGCGUGGAAGGGCCAUCGCUCAACGGAUAAAAGCUACCCUGGGGAUAACAGGCUUAUCUCCCCCAAGAGUCCACAUCGACGGGGAGGUUUGGCACCUCGAUGUCGGCUCAUCACAUCCUGGGGCUGUAGUAGGUCCCAAGGGUUGGGCUGUUCGCCCAUUAAAGUGGUACGCGAGCUGGGUUCAGAACGUCGUGAGACAGUUCGGUCCCUAUCCGUCGCAGGCGUAGGAAAUUUGAGAAGACCUGUCCUUAGUACGAGAGGACCGGGAUGGACGUACCUCUGGUGUACCAGUUGUCCUGCCAAGGGCAUGGCUGGGUAGCUAUGUACGGAAUGGAUAAGCGCUGAAAGCAUCUAAGCGCGAAGCCAACUUCAAGAUAAGAUUUCCCACCGCAAGGGUAAGACCCCAGAAAGACUAUCUGGUUGAUAGGUCGAAGGUGUAAGUGCAGCAAUGUAUUUAGCUUAUCGAUACUAAUAGGUCGAGGACUUGACCAA